AUUGAACGCUGGCGGAAUGCUUUACACAUGCAAGUCGAACGGGCUUGAGGGGCUUGCUCCUCAAGUUAGUGGCGAACGGGUGAGUAAUGCACCGGAGCGUACCUAGUCGUGGGGGAUAACGUAGCGAAAGUUACGAUAAUACCGCAUACGUCCUACGGGAGAGAGCAGGGGAUCGCAAGACCCUGCGCGAUUGGAGCGGCCGAUGUCUGAUUAGCCAGUUGGUGGGGUAAAGGCUCACCAAGGCGACGAUCAGUAUCGGGGCUGAAAGGAUGAUCCGCCACACUGGGACUGAGACACGGCCCAGACUCCUACGGGAGGCAGCAGUGGGGAAUUUUGGACAAUGGGGGCAACCCUGAUCCAGCCAUUCCGCGUGAGUGAAGAAGGCCUUCGGGUUGUAAAGCUCUUUCGGCAGGAACGAAACGGCGGGCUCUAACAUAGCCUGUUAAUGACGGUACCUGAAGAAGAAGCACCGGCUAACUACGUGCCAGCAGCCGCAGUAA
rnacentral:rRNA from 1 species